GCAUGCGGGGCGGCGCAUGCGUGCCGGCAUUCCUGGCGGCAUUCAUUCCUCACGGCCGGCGUGCGGCGGACGCGGCUCGCGUAUAACCACCAGAAGGUGCCUCCAGACUCUCCAAGUCUGUCCAGAACUUGAGCUGUGCCAAGGUGACUUUCUUCAUUUUGGGAAUUAUACAGAGCUCUCUCUCCAUAUAUCACUAAGGCAUGAUCUAGUAGCAUUAACAGCUUGAUUCAAUAAUUAACAAGAAACUGCAAAACGACGAGGGAACUGCUGCUGAUAAGCACAAACAGCUCGGCAUGCUGUGGGAAAGGAACGGAUGUGUCGUGGCAUUUAAAGAGAGCCUGAGACACUCCAGUCCUGCUGGGGCAGGUGAGCAGCCUCUGGGGAAUUGUUGCUGUCCAUUUAUUUCACUUGGUGCUGGACCCCCUGCACCUCAGGAAAACUGUAGCUGAGAUUCUCAGAGAUCUGAUUCCAGCUCACAGACUUUAUGGGACUUUCAGCCCAGAAAGAAGAGCAGAAGAUAGAUGUUUAUUUUUCAGGUACUGAUAUAUUCCAUAUUGCUGAGUCUUCCAGCAGCAAAUGAAAAACAUGUAUUUAUUCCUCCUUUCCAUUUUACCUUUGCUUUUGAAAGUCACUGGCACCAAAGAUGUUAUAUUUGGUCAUAAUAAUUUCACAGAAUAUCAAGUGGGCAACAUGAACCUCAUUCUCUCUGUCCCACAUGGUGGGUCAAUGGAACCUAAAGACAUCCCUGAUCGAGAGGCUGCCUGUUGGGAUGCGAAGACAUCCUCUUGUAUUUUCUCUCAUGACUGUCCUCCUGGAAGUAUUCAAAAUGCUAUGAAAUGCAAAGUGUCUACCAAGCAAGAUAGGUAUACCAUAGAGGUGGCUCAGGCUCUUGCUGAAGAGAUCAACAAAAUUACUGAUGGCUUCUUCCCACAUAUCAUCAUAAACCACCUACAGAGGUUCAAGAUGGAUGCUAACAGGGAAAAGGAAGAAGCCUCCUUUGGAAUUCCCCUAGCAGAACAGGCCUGGGAGGACUAUAUGGGAUUUUUGACCACUGCAAAAUCACAAAUGUCAGGGGGCCUAAUUCUGGAUAUCCACGGACAAGCACAUCCUGAAAGGUGGAUAGAAAUAGGUUACACACUUUCAAAAAAUUCCCUUAACUCAGGCGUCUUUUCUGCAUCAAAUUCCUCAAUUAGCCAUCUGGCCAGUCAGCUGGUCAAUGUGUCUUCUGAGGCUCUGUUUGCAGGGAACAGAAGUUUGGGUAAAUAUAUUGAAGGACAAAAUAAGAGUUAUUUUUGUGUGCCUUCUCCAUCCAAUCCUAGCCCAAAUAACGGAAGCUAUUAUAGUGGUGGGUACAUAACAAAGACUUUUGGUUCCCGUAGUUCUGGCACCAUUGAUGCCAUUCAGCUUGAACUGCCCCAGUGGGUCAGGGCAGCUGAAGAGCGUCACAGAUUUUGUAAAGCGCUGGCAAGGGCUGUAAUGAAAUUCUGGCAAACUAACUACUGCAGCCAGCAAAAUCACAAACUUCUGCCAUGCUGAAGAGGCUGUCCUGUUAUGAUACCUUUCCUUAAUAGAGUAGCGAUCUGGAACAAUCGAAAAACUCAUUCACCUGGAACAUCUAAGUGCGAUAUAAUUGUGGAUGCUGGUAGAAAGAAACCAUCCUGCAAAGGAAUGCAUCAACAUAGAGGAAAUCCACAGAUAAUACCAAAAAAUCCAACCCAAAAAUUAACACACACCUUUGUACUAGACCCAGCAUUGAAAUGAUUGCUGUAAGAUGAGUGGGUGCAAGCAUCACUUGCCUGUGCUUUAUUUCUUUCCAGCCUCAUGAUAAGCAACAAAUCUUCUUCUAAUAAAUUCUGUGCAAUGCUUUA